GAGUUUGAACCUGGCUCAGGAUGAACGCUAGCGACAGGCUUAACACAUGCAAGUCGAGGGGCAGCAGGGGCGUAGCAAUACGCCUGCUGGCGACCGGCGCACGGGUGAGUAACACGUAUGAAACCUGCCCGUAGCAGGGGGAUAAGCGGAAGAAAUUCCGUCUAAUACCGCGUAAUAACCGUUUGGGGCAUCCCUUAUGGUUUAAAGGAGUGAUCCGGCUACGGAUGGUCAUGCGUCGCAUUAGCUAGUCGGCGGGGUAACGGCCCACCGAGGCGACGAUGCGUAGGGGUUCUGAGAGGAAGGUCCCCCACACUGGUACUGAGACACGGACCAGACUCCUACGGGAGGCAGCAGUGAGGAAUAUUGGUCAAUGGCCGGAAGGCUGAACCAGCCAAGUCGCGUGAGGGAAGACGGCCCUAUGGGUUGUAGACCUCUUUUGUCGGGGAGCAAAGGCCGCCACGUGUGGCGGAUUGAGAGUACCCGAAGAAAAAGCAUCG
rnacentral:rRNA from 1 species